CUUAAAGUACAACCUGCUCAAUGAAUCAAAUAAAUAGCCGCAGUUUUACUGUGCUAAGGUAGCAUAAUAACUUGCUUCUUAAUUAGAAGAUAGAAUGAAAGGUCACACAUUUAAAACUUGUUUCUUCUAAAAAAAUAAAAUUAAGAAAGAAGUCAAAACUCUUCUAUAAUAGGCGGGACGACAAGACCCUGACAAACUUCACAUUUAGUUGGGGAAACAUAUCAAAAACUCUUUAAUUUAUUUAAUUACAUAACUUUAAAAUUUAAUUUAGACUAGUUACUGCAGGGAUAACAGCGCUAUUUCUCUUAAGAGACCUUAUCUAAAGAGAAGAUUACGACCUCGAUGUUGAAUUAAUCAUCCUAAAUAACGCAAAAGUUAAUUAAGGUAGUCUGUUCGACUAUUAAAAGAUUACAUGAUUUGAGUUCAGAUCGGCAUAAGCCAGAUCGGUUUCUAUCUGCCAUAAUUCGUUAAUAGUACGAAAGGACCUUAAUAAAUAAUCUAAU
rnacentral:rRNA from 1 species